rnacentral:tRNA from 2 species
GGUAUAGCUCAGUUGGUUAGAGCGCCAGAUUGUGGCUCUGGAGGUCGUGAGUUCGAAUCUCAUUAUC